rnacentral:rRNA from 1 species
UACGUAGGGUGCAAGCGUUGUCCGGAAUUAUUGGGCGUAAAGAGCUCGUAGGCGGUUUGUCGCGUCUGCUGUGAAAACCCGAGGCUCAACCUCGGGCCUGCAGUGGGGUACGGGCAGACUAGAGUGCGGUAGGGGAGAUUGGAAUUCCUGGUGUAGCGGUGGAAUGCGCAGAUAUCAGGAGGAACACCAAUGGCGAAGGCAGCACUCUGGGACGUGACUGACGCUGAGACGCGAAAGCGUGGGGAGCAAACAGG